UAGGGAAUCUUCCACAAUGGGCGAAAGCCUGAUGGAGCAACGCCGCGUGGGUGAAGAAGGUCUUCGGAUCGUAAAACCCUGUUGUUAGAGAAGAAAGUGCGUGAGAGUAACUGUUCACGUUUCGACGGUAUCUAACCAGAAAGCCACGGCUAACUACGUGCCAGCAGCCGCGGUAAUACGUAGGUGGCAAGCGUUAUCCGGAUUUAUUGGGCGUAAAGGGAACGCAGGCGGUCUUUUAAGUCUGAUGUGAAAGCCUUCGGCUUAACCGGAGUAGUGCAUUGGAAACUGGGAGACUUGAGUGCAGAAGAGGAGAGUGGAACUCCAUGUGUAGCGGUGAAAUGCGUAGAUAUAUGGAAGAACACCAGUGGCGAAGGCGGCCGCCUGGCCUGUUACUGACGCUGAGGCACGAAAGCGUGGGGGGAGCAAAUAGGAUUAGAUACC
rnacentral:rRNA from 1 species